GAUGAACGCUGGCGGCGUGCCUAAUACAUGCAAGUCGAGCGAACAGAUGAGGAGCUUGCUCCUCUGACGUUAGCGGCGGACGGGUGAGUAACACGUGGAUAACCUACCUAUAAGACUGGGAUAACUUCGGGAAACCGGAGCUAAUACCGGAUAAUAUAUUGAACCGCAUGGUUCAAUGGUGAAAGACGGUUUUGCUGUCACUUAUAGAUGGAUCCGCGCCGCAUUAGCUAGUUGGUAAGGUAACGGCUUACCAAGGCAACGAUGCGUAGCCGACCUGAGAGGGUGAUCGGCCACACUGGAACUGAGACACGGUCCAGACUCCUACGGGAGGCAGCAGUAGGGAAUCUUCCGCAAUGGGCGAAAGCCUGACGGAGCAACGCCGCGUGAGUGACGAAGGUCUUCGGAUCGUAAAACUCUGUUAUUAGGGAAGAACAAAUGUGUAAGUAACUAUGCACGUCUUGACGGUACCUAAUCAGAAAGCCACGGCUAACUACGUG
rnacentral:rRNA from 1 species